rnacentral:rRNA from 1 species
GAUGAACGCUAGCUACAGGCUUAACACAUGCAAGUCGCGGGGCAGCAUGAAUUUAGCUUGCUAAAUUUGAUGGCGACCGGCGCACGGGUGAGUAACGCGUAUCCAACCUGCCCACCACUUGGGGAUAACCUUGCGAAAGUAAGACUAAUACCCAAUGAUAUCCCACGAAGGCAUCCGAAUGGGAUUAAAGAUUUAUCGGUGAUGGAUGGGGAUGCGUCUGAUUAGCUUGUUGGCGGGGUAACGGCCCACCAAGGCAACGAUCAGUAGGGGUUCUGAGAGGAAGGUCCCCCACAUUGGAACUGAGACACGGUCCAAACUCCUACGGGAGGCAGCAGUGAGGAAUAUUGGUCAAUGGACGAGAGUCUGAACCAGCCAAGUAGCGUGCAGGAUGACGGCCCUAUGGGUUGUAAACUGCUUUUAUAAGGGAAUAAAGUGAGAGUCGUGACUCUUUUUGCAUGUACCUUAUGAAUAAGGACCGGCUAAUUCCGUGCCAGCAGCCG